UCGAGGAUCUUCGGCAAUGGACGCAAGUCUGACCGAGCGACGCCGCGUGCGGGAUGAAGGCCUUCGGGUUGUAAACCGCUGUCAGUGGGGAGAAAAUUGGUGGGGGUACUCCCCCAUCAUUGAUCUAUCCGCAGAGGAAGUGUGGGCUAAGUUCGUGCCAGCAGCCGCGGUAAGACGAACCACACGAACGUUAUUCGGAAUUACUGGGCUUAAAGGGUGCGUAGGCUGCGCAGAAAGUUGGGUGUGAAAUACCUCGGCUUAACCGAGGAACUGCGCCCAAUACUACUGUGCUUGAGGGAGAUAGAGGUGAGCGGAACUUAGGGUGGAGCGGUGAAAUGCGUUGAUAUCCUAAGGAACACCGGUGGCGAAAGCGGCUCACUGGAUCUCUUCUGACGCUGAGGCACGAAAGCUAGGGUAGCGAACGG
rnacentral:rRNA from 1 species